UACGUAGGGUGCAGGCGUUAAUCGGAAUUACUGGGCGUAAAGCGUGCGCAGGCGGUUUCUUAAGUCAGAUGUGAAAGCCCCGGGCUUAACCUGGGAACUGCGUUUGAAACUGAAAGGCUAGAGUGUGGCAGAGGGGGGUGGAAUUCCACGUGUAGCAGUGAAAUGCGUAGAGAUGUGGAGGAACACCGAUGGCGAAGGCAGCCCCCUGGGCUAACACUGACGCUCAUGCACGAAAGCGUGGGGAGCAAACAGG
rnacentral:rRNA from 1 species